rnacentral:rRNA from 1 species
UACGGGGGGAGCAAGCGUUGUUCGGAUUUACUGGGCGUAAAGGGCGCGUAGGCGGCCACCGCAAGUCGGUUGUGAAAUCUCCGGGCUUAACCCGGAAAGGUCAAUCGAUACUGCGGGGCUAGAGUACAGAAGGGGCAACUGGAAUUCUCGGUGUAGCGGUGAAAUGCGUAGAUAUCGAGAGGAACACCUGCGGCGAAGGCGGGUUGCUGGGCUGAUACUGACGCUGAGGCGCGAAAGCCAGGGGAGCGAACGGG